rnacentral:lncRNA from 10 species
UGCCUCAGCCUCCCAAAGUGCUGGGAUUACAGGUGUUUAUCCAUUGUUUGUAUCAUACUAUACCUUUUUUUGUGUCUUUGUGCAAACGAAAAAUGCAUGAGUGCUUCCUUAAAUGUUGCUCCCUAGAUGCCUCGCUGCCUCACGCUGGCCCCAGCUCUGUUCUUUUGUGUGUGUAGCUUUGGCUUAUCUUUCUUACGGUUGUACGACAGUCCAUUAGCAAGACUAUAACCCAGUUCAUUUCUGCAUCGUACUGGCAGACAUUUGGGCUGUUUCUGGCUGCGAUGAUUUCAAGGCUCACAUACAUGUCUCCUGGAAUACAUAUGCAUGGACUCUGUUGCAUAUACAGCAAAGAGUGUUUCCCUGUUGUUUUUCAAAAGUGAUAUUCUAAAUUCCUUCUGGAUCGUUAAUGAUAAAACCUGGCAAUCCAAUGCAAACAUUUUAUUGUAAACCUUAGUAUUCUAGACAUAAUGGGAAAUGUUCAUUUUAUUAUCUAUCAAUUUUAGACACACACUCACACACAUUCCCUAAAAGUAGGGUCAAAUACUUUUGCAGGUAAGAUUAGCAUUCAGGACAGAAUGCUUCAUUUGGAAACAUUGACCAGCUGUUCUUCCUAUCCCACCACCCCAUAAGUUUUAGAUUUCUAGGUCUUUCAAAGGGAAAUAAAAGUGAAUCAUGCAAGAUAAUUUUAAAUUGAUUAGUCAGAGGCAGACAUCUUUCCAGGAUUUUUGUUUUCAUGAGCCCCAGUUUACCCCGCUUUGGUGAAGAGAAUAUGAAUUAUGGUCUGUAUAUAGCUGAGCCUAAGUGCAAGUUAGGUUAGCUUGUUUAAUGUGCAUAACAUGUUCCUCCUCUCUGAAUUAUGUAAAACACAUAUCUAACUGAUUACCAUAUUUAGCGUCCAUUGUCACCAUGUGCUUUGUGAUGGAAUUUGCUGGUCAAAACAUUAUUAUUUCACUUAUUGGACAGUUUGAAAUUUGACAUCUAACUCUCUCAGUUAGUUCAGGCUUCUAUAGCAAAUUACCAUAGUCUGGAUGGCUUAAACAAGAAACAUUUAUUUCUCACAGUUCUGGAAGCUGAGAAGUCCAAGAUAAAGGUGCCAGCAGAUCUGGUAGUCUACUUCCAGGUGAGGGUCAACUUCCUGGUUUGCAUAUAGUUGCCUUCUCAUAUCCGCACAUGGCAGAGAGUUCUGAUCCUUUAUCCCCUAUAAGGGCACUAAUCCCACUUAUGAGGGCUCCACCCUCAUGACCUGAUCACCUCCCAAAGGCCCCACCUCCAAACACCAUCACAUUGGGGAUUAGAUUUCAGCAUAUGAAUUUUGGGGUGACUCAAACAUUCAGUCCAUAGCAAAUGCUUUGAGACAUUCCAAGUUUUUAAAAUUAGCUUUUGUUGCAAGCAUUAGUAAGAUAUAAUAAUUAUGUUUAUUUAAUUUGUAAUUCCAUUAUUAAAAUGACCACAUGUCUAGCUUUCACUGUUAUCACAAGUAGUUUUAGUAGAAUUCUACUUGUAAGUGUUUGGUUCUGUGAAAUCGUUAUAUGAUUUGUAUAAAUAUUAGAAUAAUUAUAAUUUUUCUUCUUUUAAGAACUGUAUUGUCUUAAAGGAUGUGUAUUUGGUAUACACAACUAGUGGUGAUUAAUUAGAAUCUUGCUUUAUUGAAGCACUAGUUACCUAAUAAAAAAGUAUCUUUCUAGCAUGGUUCAAAAAUGGGUCAUAAUAAACUAGCAAGGACAUGUGGGAAACUUAAUUAUAAAAGACAUUGUAAAUUAGAACAACAGAUCUAAAAUGGCUCUUGCAUUUGUACUUAUUUGCAUAUAUUAACAUUUAACCAGAGAUAAAAUUGGGACAUUUUUGGUUGUACUGAUACUGGAAAAUAGUUAUAUCAUAUCGUUUUUAAAAGCUCAGUUUAUGAGAGUGAAACAUACCCCCCUUAAAUCUAAACUUUAUUUAAGCUUUGUGUGAGAUUCUUUAUGUAAUUU